UGGGCUGUAGUUCAUGUUAUGGACUUAUUUACAUUAACCUGACUUAAUUCUUUUACUUUAGUUAUGACAACUUGCUUUCAUGAGUUCAAUUAACUUAACAAUCACGCAUUUUAUCUCAAACGAACUUUUUAAUUUGAGUCGAAGUGAAACAAUUAAGUUUAAUGCAGCUUUACGUCUGACGUCAUUACGUAAGCUCCGCCCGGGGCAAAUCCUGCAUCUCUGGUACCGACCGCCAUUUCUUCUGAGCAUUGACUGUCGACGAGAUUCAGAUAAAACAGUAAGUAUGCUGCCCCACCAUAACCAAACAUUAAAUAAACGGUGUAAAAAUAUUUAAAACUUUUUCUAACUUAAAUUUGAAACAUUGAACUGUGUUUAACGUCGAAGUGUCAUCAGUUAUUUGCUCUUAACACAUUUGCUAAUUGUAAUUAGCCGCGCUGUUCGGCGGUUCAAAUCUCAACAUGUUUUAACAUAACUACUCUGAGUCAGACUGAAUGUUUAUUUUGUAUGUGUACUUUUACGCUAAAAAACCUAACUUGAAAUUACAGAGGUGGGGGUGUUCUGUGCAAAACUAAUUUAAUGUGAUGCAACUCCACUGUGCUAAUCACUGUUAGCUGCAGCCGGUGAAGCCAUUUUUUCCAGUUUUCUCAUGCUGCUUACUGGCGACAUAAUAUAAAACGCAUAAUAUCCUGACAGCGCUAAGAAUCCAUCAGGUGUCAUUUCUCUUAAAAAAGCAAAUUGUGUCUGUAGGAACAUUGCGGAGUGUUCUAGCUAGCCGUUGAUCCCCAGGCACUGGGCCGGGCUGAGACGCCCUCGGGCUGGGCUGAGGAUUUCACAGCUUCACUUUCGGAGCUCUGCAUUUAGUAGCCUGCCCCACAGACUCCGCCCCGGCUAGAUCGCUUCUUGCCCUGUAUUAUUUCUCUGCAAUUUGCAAUCUACCACAGCGCACGGACAGUUCACAAUGUGCAUGUUUGAUCUCCCUAUGGUCGUCCGCGCCCUUGAUUUCACCGGCUACAGAAAUCGAAAUGACAACCGGCAUGAACGCGAGGAAAAGAAAGAAGAAAAAUUAAGAUCAAAUGAAAAUUUCAGGCAUUAGCAUUUCUGGCUAGAACCCUGUUGUAUUAACUUCUUUUACCCACUUCUCUUUCCAGGCCUAGAACCAAGAAUCAUCAAACCACAUAAGUGUUGCACUUAAUGUGGAGAUGCAAAGACUGCAAGAGGGUGUUUUCCAGAAGAUCUGAAUUGCUCAAGCACUACAAACUAGACCACAGGCAUUAUGGACGGGGUUAUUCGUAUCCAUGCUCAUAUUUAAGUUGUGCAUGUAGAUUCAAGACCUGGAAUGCUUUACUGAGCCAUUUAUCAAGAAAUCAUCCAGUCAAACAAACAGUUACCAAAGACUUAACCAGAUUCAAAUGCCCCAUUUGUGAUUUUAAUCAACUUUCCACUGAGAGAGAUUUUUUUCAACAUAUAUUUCAACAUCUCAAGAACAAGGAAACUGUCACGUGUGUGUUUCAGGACUGUGUUUAUCAAACAAAUAUUUACGAGAACUACAAAAGUCAUAAAUACAGAAAACAUUCUGACAUUAGCAAUACAUUUAAGACUGGGAUUACUGAAAAAAAACAAUUAGACUGUGGUGAAGAAUUGUGUGUUAGUUCUGGUACUGAUAUUUUUGAUCAAGACAGUACUGCACAAGCUAAUCAAGAUCACACAUUUAAUGAGACUGAUUCUGAAAACUUACAGAGAGAUAUUGAACUUAAACUUGCAUCAGUUCUUCUAAAGUUAGAAAGCAGUUUUCUUGUGUCAAAUGCAGCUAUUGAUGAACUAUUGCAGGAGUUAAACUAUUUAAUUGGUUCUUUGUCCCUGCCAGUUACAUGCAGAACUGUAACCCAAAUACUACAUGAUCACCUUUGCCAGUUUGACCAGUCAGUUAUUGAAAAACUUGCCAGGGCCCUCUGUGAAACAAACCCUGUAAACAAAGCAAUAGGAGAUAAAGGCUCCCUUUCUAGUGCUUGGAGACGAAAACAAUUCUAUAAAAGACAUUUUAAAGUGGUAGAACCUGAAGAAUAUAUUCUUGAUAAAAAAAAUAAUAAGUCAUUCCAGUAUGUAUCAAUCCUAAAGUCUUUGCAGCAAGUUCUUGACUGUGAGGUUAUCUUGGAUCAGACUGAUAAUUUAAAUUGUGUGAAUAAACUACUACAAAGAAGUAGUGUUCAUACAUAUAGGUCUUUCUAUGACGGGUCAUUUUUUAGUGAAAAUGAGCUUUUGUGUAAGGAGGAGAGCAUUUCAUUGAUAUUGUAUAUUGAUGAUUUUGAAAUAUGCAACCCUCUCGGUACAUCUAAACGGAAGCAUAAAAUUUGUGGCUUAUACUGGAUUCUUGGUAAUUUGCCACAGGGGUGUAAUUCUAACUUGUCUUCCAUUUACCUGGCUGCUUUAAUCAAAACUAAUGAUUUGAAGUGCUAUGGUUACGAGAAGGUUUUAGAACCUUUACUUAAUGAGCUUGUGAUUUUGGAACAAGAAGGGGUCUUUGUGUCAAAGUUGGGUAGAGCUGUAAAAGGCACAGUUCAGUGCGUGGUUGCAGAUAAUCUUGCUGCCCACAGUCUUGGUGGCUUUGUAGAGAACUUCACAGGGUCAUACAUAUGUAGGUUUUGUUUGGCAGUUAAAACAGACAUUCAAACUACAGAGGUUAGAAGUGGUGCAUUUACCCUGAGAACGAAAAGCAUUCAUGCAGAUCACUUAAAAAUUCUUCAGGAACGUGAAUUUCCAAGUUAUCAGGGUGUCAAAUCAACUUCCAUUUUAUCACAUUUAUUGUAUUUUGACAUUACCACAGGUCUUCCUCCAGACAUUGUGCAUGACCUUUUUGAAGGAGUUGUUCCUUUUGAAUUAGCUUUGUGUCUGGGUGUUUUGAUUAAGAAAAAAUAUUUCACAUUGGUAUCACUGAAUGACGCAAUAGCAUCUUUCAAUUUUAAGGGGACUGAUAAAACUAAUCGACCUCAUCCAAUUGCUCUCAAUUUUGAAGCCAAAAAAAGUGUUGGGGGUAAUGCACAUGAGAAUUGGAGUUUGAUCAGAUUUUUACCUUUGUUGAUUGGACACAGAGUGCAACAUGAAGAGCCAGCUUGGCAGAUCUUAACAGACUUAAGGGACAUUGUUGAUCUUGUGGUCUGUCCUAUUCACACAGAGGACUCUAUUGCUUACCUUGACUUUAAGAUCUCAGAGCACAGAACACAAUUCCAGGAGGUUUUUCCUAAUUGUGACCUUAAACCAAAACACCAUUUCUUGGAACAUUACCCGCACUUGAUUCGCCAAUUUGGUCCUUUAGUAGCCUUAUGGUCCAUGCGCUUUGAAGCUAAGCAUAGCUUUUUUAAAAGAGUUGCACGAAAUAUCAAGUGCUUUAAAAAUGUCCUCUGUUCCCUUGCAGAGAGACACCAGUAUCAGAUGGCACAUCAUUUGCAUUUAUCUGGUUUUCCUAAACCUCUUUUGGAAGUUACAAAUGUUUCCACAGUAACAACUGAUGUUCUCGACAAGGGAAUAGUAAAUGCUCUAAAACAGAAGUUUUCAAAUCUGGCCACAGUGUGCAUGACUAAAAGUGCAACAUUUAAUGGACUGAAGUACAGAUGCGGGAUGAUCUUGAUCCAUGGCUCAUUAGGAGGAUUACCAGAGUUCAUUGAAAUAAUCCAAAUGGUGAUCCUGGCAAACCAGUUAUUCUUUCUGGUCAGAAAACUUGAGGGGUGGUAUGUUGAGCAUUACAGAUCUUAUGAGCUGAAAACAUCAGACAAAGAACUGAAACUGGUUGAGCUACAAGACCUAACAGAUGUAUACCCGCUGGAAGACUACAGAAUUAGAGGAAUACGUCUUGUUACUGUGAAAAGAUAUAUUCACGUUUAAGGAUUGUCAUGGCAAGUUCAAAACCUGCAAGACUGAAGGUGAUUCUAGGAGAGAGCAACACUGAAAAACUGACUCUUCCAGAUGGCAUACCAGACUCUCUGGAUGAGCUUCUCAGCAAGGUGAAGGAUACCUUUGGUUUAAAGACCAAUGUCAGAUUGCAAUAUAUGGACAAAGACUUUGGUAAUGACUUCUUCAACCUCAGCUCAACUUCUGACCUGGAGGACUUGGGAACAGUCAAGGUGAUUCAAGAAAAAGCCAUUCAAACUUUUGUUGAUGUCAUUGAAACAGCUCCAUCUUGUUCUACAGUUCACUCUGACGACAGCAGUUCUUUAGCCUCAAAUGACACUAUAAUCCUCUCCUCCCCUGAACCCUUGUCAUCGCGAACACAACAAUGGCCAGCCAACUUUCCCAUUCCCAUAUUUUCAUAUGACACUGAACGUCAGCUAGAGAAGGGGAAUUCUGAGUAUCAAGCAAACAACAAAAUGUUGACAGUCACCUCCCGAAUGAAGACUGACAUCCUAAAUAGAUUAGUAGAAGAGAUCUACAGAUACAGAGCCUACCCAGAGGAUGCACAGUUCUGUGUAGUUGCAGAGGCCUUGGUUAAAAAACAUCCGUGUUUAAAAGAGCCCGGUUCAUUCAAUGGUUGCUACGGUUGGAAGCAAAGGCUGAAGUACAAAAUGGGAAACUACAGGACUCUACUCAAAUCACAAGGAUGUCCAGAGUUGUCUGUAAACUCUCUUAAAUCCAAAGCUAGUAUUUCUGUUUCUCCUGCUGCAAAAAUAAAGAAGCCAAGACGAGCUGAAGCCAACUUUUAUCCAUCCUUUCCAUUGGGAGAAACACAAGAAAGCAUGGAAAAAGAGAGAAUUGAACUCUUGGCAGCACUCAAAAGGAGGAACAAUGACAGGGUCAUUGCGGAGAAAAUGGCUCGUACCUUUGCCUACAGGCGUCAGGAGGUGGUGAAUGAAGAACCUGGUAUAGAGGAUUUCAAGGACAGAUGGCCUGCUCUGUUCCAACAGAAAGAGAUUAAUGCGGAGUUCCAGAGGCUCAUGGCUCUUCCCCUUGAGCAGACGUUCUUGGCCCAGUUGGACAGGCACUCAAGUCAGCUGAUUAAAGUCAUCCAGGCCAAAGGAGGAGCAACACGUGCAAAAAUGGCUGGCAUCAUGAGAACUUAUGAUGAGGUUGAAGACAUUGGGAUUCGAAGGGAAUGUGUUCUGAAAGGGCUCGUCACCUUUCUUGGAGAGGAUGCAAAAGACCUUAUUAAGGAAUACUGUGGCAGCAGCGGAGAUGAUGCCCAGAUGGAACUCAAACAACUCACCAUGGCAGUGUUUGUGAUUCGGAAGGAGGGAGAGGGAUUGAAAGAACCCCCAGAAGACAUUGGCAUCGUCAUUGAGGGAGUGGAGGUGUUGCAGGACCUGACUUCAGUUGCCUCAGCAUGUGCCCUGCUUCUGGGUUUGAUAUAUUCCCUUAACUUGGCUUAUCCAAAGGCUCUGCGCUUCACAUUUGAAGUGUUCCAAAAAAUCUUCAUGCAGCUUGAGCAGCACAAGAUGUCUCCCAAAGUUCAAAAUUUGUUUGGAAGACUUCAGACCUCACAGUAAAGACACUGGCAUGUUGUGCAACAGGACAGAAGAUCUUCAGUCUUCUUUGUUUGGACAGAAGAACGCCAUGUUUUGGAAGCUUAACACCUCAAGGAACUGCACUUUGUGAACUUCUUUUGGGACAUUGUUCAUAUUAAAGCCACAAGUAAUACAGAGUUUACUGGAUAACAAUUGACCGGUAUUUCUGGAGGAUGUUUACUGAUGAGGUUGUGAUGAACAUUAUCAUUUUGGGAGUAGGUCUUUUUUGUUUUUGACAUUUCAUAAAGUUACAUGGUUCAUCUCUUUGGUUUUGUGUGGGGAAAAAAUACAAGUUAAGGGGGAAAAAUUAAAGUAGGAAAGUAGUAGGCUGCUGCAGUUUGUGGACAUUUUCACAGAAUUUUCUUUUUGCAUUUUUUUUUAAAAUUUGAAUCAACAGAUUUGUUCAGUGUUUUUUGAAGGAGGUUGAAUGGAUCUAGAUCAUAAUGUUUACUAUUCUGUUCUUUUCUGGUGUCAGUUAAAUUAACGGACUUGGUUUAAACUAGGCAGCUAUUACACCACAUCUUUGUUUGAAAACUUGCCUAAAUAUUUUUUGGGUAUUGCUCUUGUUUUCAGUGUAAAAAUAGUCACUAGUGUCAUCAUAUUUUAUGUCAAAAACAUGUUCUCAGCAAAUGUUACGGUUUAAGAGUGUGGAUUUUCUUUUUUAGGAGGACUUGUGUUAAAUCUAAAAAAGCAAAAAAUUUUUCCUGAGGAAUACUUGUGUAUUCUACAACCUCACACAGGGGUGUCCAAGUCUUGUCCAGGAGAGCUACCAUUGUGCAACUUUCAGAUGGACCCUAUUUCAAUACCACCUGAAGCUAAUUUCUGAAUUUACACACCAGCAGACAUUCAGCUCAGCAGAGGCGUUGUAAUGAGCAGUUCAUUUGAUUCAGAUGUAUUGGAGAUGGGAUGCAUCUGAAAGUUGCAAGAUGAUGGCUCUCCAGAACUGGACUUGGGCACCUCUGAUCUAGCAGGUCGCUGAAAUGUAAUAUCCCUUAUGAAGUUUCAAAAGAUUUGUGUAGCAUGUUUAAUGCAUAAUAUUUUGUGAAAAACCUGUAAGUUU